rnacentral:rRNA from 1 species
UGUGGAAUAUUGCACAAUGGGCGCAAGCCUGAUGCAGCCAUGCCGCGUGUAUGAAGAAGGCCUUCGGGUUGUAAAGUACUUUCAGCGGGGAGGAAGGUGUUGUGGUUAAUAACCACAGCAAUUGACGUUACCCGCAGAAGAAGCACCGGCUAACUCCGUGCCAGCAGCCGCGGUAAUACGGAGGGUGCAAGCGUUAAUCGGAAUUACUGGGCGUAAAGCGCACGCAGGCGGUCUGUCAAGUCGGAUGUGAAAUCCCCGGGCUCAACCUGGGAACUGCAUCCGAAACUGGCAGGCUUGAGUCUUGUAGAGGGGGGUAGAAUUCCAGGUGUAGCGGUGAAAUGCGUAGAGAUCUGGAGGAAUACCGGUGGCGAAGGCGGCCCCCUGGACAAAGACUGACGCUCAGGUGCGAAAGCGUGGGGAGCAAACA